UCGAGGGAAAGAUGAACGGAGCAAAGUACAGAAAGAUUCUUGAUGAAAACCUGCUCCAGAGUGUUCAGGACCUCAGACUGGGACAAAGGUUCACCUUCCAACAGGACAAUGACCCUAAGCACAUAGCCAAGACAACACAGGAGUGGCUUUGGGACAAGUCUCUGAAUGUCCUUGAGUGGCCCAGCCAGAGCCCGGACUUGAACCCGAUCUAACAUCUCUGGAGAGACCUGAAAAUAGCUGUGCAGCAACGCUCCCCAUCCAUCCUGAGAGCUUGAGAGUAUCUGUACACCUCCCCCACACACGCAUUGUGUCACCUCAAUGCUUCCAUAUAUGGUAGUGUUAUACGUUCUAGUUCCCAUGUCCUGUCCAGCAGUAACAGGAUGUGCUGCAUAAAUAAAUGACUGAUUUAAAGGUGGCUGCUGUAUCCUCACUAGCACAUUGCUUAGCUUACCUGAUAGUUUCUGUCCUCAGUGAUUCUACAUUUUCUAUUGUGAGGACUGUGCCCUGUCUUGUUGAAAUGUCAGUCACUUACAGAAUCGUAUGUACAGUAUUUAGGCCCCAGACCUGGUAGAAAUGGGUAGUUUGUCUAAGAGAGUGACGUUGCCAUUAAUCACCAGGUUAAGGUCAUGUUUCGUCUUCUUGUGGUUAAGGUUUGGGUUAGGUGAUAUGUGGUUACGGGUAACUGCUGCCGUGACUCAUGUAUGUGCUAUAAGCUGACUGUGAAUCGGGACUAGUCAACAUAUUUUGAUUUUGUAUUAAUCAAAUGAGAUCUUUAAGUUCUUGUUAGGAGUUCCAACUGUUAGCUAAAGUAAAUGCUCCAUUGAUGUGAACAUCCACAUGAGAGAUGGAGAGCGUGAGAAUAGUUUUUUAGAAAUGUACAUAAAUGAUAGAUUUUCUGUCAUUUGUAUCAGGAGUACAUUUGUUUUCGAGGUAAAAAAUGUAUUCUUCUCACUAUUAGUGAUUUAAGAGAACUUUACAAUUAGUAAACUUUCCAAUUCAAAUAAUAAUAAUCCAAUUCAAAUGAUAUUUUUGCUUUCAAAAAAAAGGUUAAAAUGUAUUGUUUGAUGUAAUUCACCCGUAUUUAUUCAUUAACACCAGCUUUAUUUGGUAAACCUGGUAUCUGGGUCUCAUUGAGCUCUUCAAACAAUAUUCAUUUAUAAAUAUUUCACCUUUACUAAAUAAAAUCAUAGCUUUAUGUAAAUUGCUUUUGUUUUUCUGAUUUAGUUUUAUUGACUGCUGGAUUGUCUUUUCCCCUGCUGCCUGUUUGGCUGUUUCUUUCUACUUCAUUCACCCACCAAUCAAGUUCGCCGUGCAGUAGGCUACAGCCAUCAGAGAUGGUAGUAAUGUUGUUAGAACUACAGCAUCCUCAUACAUCUAUGAAGUUCUGAUAAUACUUAUGACAGGGGUUCCCAACCUUUGUUUGACCCAUGACCCCAUUUUGAUAUAAUAAAAUUGCGACAGCACCAUGUAAAAAAAUAAUCAUAAGAAAACGAUGUAAUCAAACAGCCAAUUUUUUUUAUUUUUUAUUUGUGUCCCUGACAGUCUGUUACAAGUCAGUCUGACAGUACAUUCACAGUAUUUCAAUUUGAAGGAAGUAUGGUUUGAAGUGACUAAAAUUGCCCAUUUUCAAAUCAGGCGACCCUUAGUUUAGAAAACGCUGACUUAUGAGUUCAUAAUGUAAGUGUAGUUGAAACAUUUUUAUAAUUUAUUUUUAAAUGUAUAUGUAUUCGCCAAAUCUGAUUGGAUCAUAGAUGAAGACUAUUGUUAGUUUGUGUAGACCCUCUCUAGUGGCACUAGUGAUUAAAAAUAGAAAGUGAAGUGUUCUCCAGUGCAAGGGUGCAGUACAGGCAGUAAGUAAACAUUUCACGGUAAUUGUAUUCGCUGCAUGUUGGGUGCACAUGAGAAUUCUGCUGAAACCGAACAGACCUGUCAUAUUUUGUAGGACUUUUUAUUUGCUUUUGUUGCAAUGAGUUUACCCCCAGUAUUUGAUUUAGGUUCUGUCAAGUUUCUUCUGUCCCUCAUGGAGAUAUGAUUUCUCUGGUGGUGUAACUGUGUGCGACCACACUGGAUUUUUUCCAUUCUACAGUCAGUGGACAAGCUUCUUCCCAAUUUCUCCCCUCUCCCUCCCUUUCCUCCUCCCUCUCCUCUAUAGGUUUGCCAGUGAUGGGGCAGUCAUUUGCUUUGGGGUGUUCAUGCGGACCCAGGAGGGGGGCGGGCAUCAGAAGGUGGGGGAUAUGCUGCAGGUGUUGCCUAGUGAACGCUACAAUGCACACAUGGUCCCAGAAGACCGCUUCCUCACCUGCCCCGAGCCUGGAACCUACGUGCUGCAUUUUGACAACACCUACAGCUUACUCCAGUUGAAAAACAUCAGCUAUACUGUGGAUGUUGUACUGCCAGACGGACAUGUCAAGAGUCCUAGGAGUAACAGAGGGGAUGGAUGGCUGGAGUAACACACACACACACACACACACACACAAAUAUGAGAUCUGGAUAGUGAAGAUAGCAAUGUACAGUAUACAGUGCUGUUUAAACACCACUGUUCUCAGUUAUGGGCAUUGAUAUGACUAGUAACCCACAGUUAUAACUUUUCCUAUUUUCUGUUGACAUACA